rnacentral:rRNA from 1 species
GAUGAACGCUGGCGGCGUGCCUAAUACAUGCAAGUCGAGCGAACGGAUGAGAAGCUUGCUUCUCUGAUGUUAGCGGCGGACGGGUGAGUAACACGUGGAUAACCUACCUAUAAGACUGGGAUAACUUCGGGAAACCGGAGCUAAUACCGGAUAAUAUUUUGAACCGCUUGGUUCAAAAGUGAAAGACGGUCUUGCCGUCACUUAUAGAUGGAUCCGCGCUGCAUUAGCUAGUUGGUAAGGUAACGGCUUACCAAGGCAACGAUGCAUAGCCGACCUGAGAGGGUGAUCGGCCACACUGGAACUGAGACACGGUCCAGACUCCUACGGGAGGCAGCAGUAGGGAAUCUUCCGCAAUGGGCGAAAGCCUGACGGAGCAACGCCGCGUGAGUGAUGAAGGUCUUCGGAUCGUAAAACUCUGUUAUUAGGGAAGAACAUAUGUGUAAGUAACUGUGCACAUCUUGACGGUACCUAAUCAGAAAGCCACGGCUAACUACGUG